CGCAGGCGGUUAUACAAGACAGGCGUGAAAUCCCCGGGCUUAACCUGGGAAUGGCGUCUGUGACUGUAUGACUAGAGUGUGUCAGAGGGGGGUAGAAUUCCACGUGUAGCAGUGAAAUGCGUAGAUAUGUGGAGGAAUACCAAUGGCGAAGGCAGCCCCCUCGGGAUAACACUGACGCUCAUGCACGAAAGCGUGGGGAGCAAACA
rnacentral:rRNA from 1 species